UACAACUCUGGUCUUGAGCCAAAAUCCAACAAGCUUCUAUGUGAGCUGUGAUAUCAUCAGCCAUGGAAACUUAGGAGGGGGCAAGAGAGUCUCUCUACGAUCCAGCUUCCAUUUAUGUGGUACCAAAUCUUAAUGAUAGGAAUGCUUUGGUAGUGCUGUCUCCAUUCCCGGAGCUUCUCCACCAGCUCAUCAGGCAUGUCUUCGAGCUCCAGUUUCUGCAAACCACUGAGGCUCUGAAUCCCUCUGGGAAUCGUCUGCAACUGGCUGCAUCUCACCAGUGUCAGCUCCUGAAGGCUUUCCAGGGCGGUCCCCUCGAUUUCUAUGCAGUUUAGGUGCGCCAUGUCGCACAGUCCCAGUGACUUGAGCUUGCACAGCGAUCCUGCAGGGAAGCGCAGUGCGUUCCCCUCGAACGCUUGCAUGAGGAAGAGCGAGACCAGAUUGGGCGACGCCAUGAGCGCGGACACUGCGUUCUUCUUUGAGUCUUGACAUCUUCAGCACCAGAGGCUGCUCGUGGUCUCCUCUGUAUGCGCUCGUGCACCUGAGGAAUUCGUUCCUGACCUCGAGCUCCCUUCCGAUCUGAACCAUCUUGCCCCGAACUUUCCCCGAACGCUUCAUGAGCGAGUCCAGCCGGCGAAACGCCGCUGCAGCUACAGCUUCCGUGAUCUUCUCGGUUAGGCAUGCGAUAGCAAUCUCUGCAAUUCUUUCUCUAACGAUCUCGGAAGACGGAGGCCAUGACUACAGAGAUUGAUCGAAAUACGAAAUGAAGUGGGGAGACUGAACAAUCCUACAGCUGCAUUCUGGUCCUUCUCACAAAGAAAGAACUUGUCUGAGCCCUUAUUUUUGCAGUAUUGCUGAGGAGAAUGGGCAUCAAAAGCAAGUUCUUUAAGCCACUAGGCACGUCUGCAAGACAUUUCUUUUCAUAUUUGAAGUGAGAAUUCACCUGUUGUUAAAGCAAUUUACUUGAUUUUUUUGUUUUCUUUUUUUUUUUUAAUCAGAUCGAUAAUAAAAUGUUUGCAGCAAUAUUAAGGUCUUCUCGAUGAUAUACAUAGAAAUUAUAUUUUACUUGGAAAAUUUAUUUCUGAUGAUUUUCACAAUGUAAAAAAAAGAUUAGGGAAAUAAAUAAAUAAAAUUAACAAGGCAAGCUUUAUACAAUCCCUACUCCAUUCUCCAUUUUACAUAUAUAUACAUAUACAUAUACAUAUACAUAUACAUAUAUAUAUACAUAUAUAUAUACAUAUAUACAUAUAUAUAUAUAUAUAAUGUGACUUAAUCAAAGUUAGUUCUACAAAUGAGGUUUUUACA